rnacentral:misc_RNA from 1 species
GGAAAAAACCGAUAUUCAGCGUACGUAGAUCUUCAAUAAUCGGAAGAUCUAACGUGACGGUGGAGGUGUACAGUAAUCCGACGGAGGAGUAUCAGAUCGAAGGAUCAUUUGCACAGAGAAAUUGCACAUUCUUCAACGCGGACAAGGUAUCUGUGGCUGAGAUUCGUCGCAAAGUGGAUGCUUGUGCUCAUGUGGUGCUUGGAAAAGACGUUUUCUCUCUCUCAAUAAAGCCUGGGUUUGAUUGUGCCUUUGCCAUGGGAUUAGUGCUCGUGCUUGAUCAAAUUCAAGUUGAUGAUUUUGCUGAAAAUCGGAUCGAUGCCG